UUUUGCAUGCUUCAGAACUUCACCUAACUCUGUGUAUGUGUGUGUAUGCCUGCAGGGGUGUGUGUGAGCGGAGGUGGAUGCUGCUGUGGGACUCUGGGGAUGUGUAAAGUCUCCAUCCGUCCUGGAUCUCUGCAGCUUUUUAGGAGCUGCUCUCUGGGCUUUUGUGCAAGAGUGUGUGUCCUGGACGUGUGUUCGCCAUGUCUCUAGUUCAGGCACUGCCUGUGCCCACUGAUCACCCGAAGCCCAGCGCUGACAUCCAGCAGUGCUGCUCAGUGUCUCACUCCCCCACCGUAGCUGCGGCAGGCACCAUGGGCUCCGUCAGCAGCCUUAUCUCUGGACGUACCUACCAGGAGCGUCACUGCCGAGCUGCCAGCGACUUUGGCGCCAAGUAUCGCAAACCCACACCAACUACGAGCUGUUUCCGACAGCAAGAGGGCACGCUGCGCAGUGCCAGCUCACAGGAGCAGCUUCUCACCAGACAGCCUCCUCUACCUGCUAAGAACAAGUCCUCUGCCCUCAUCUCUGCUGGCAAUGGCAACUAUGGCUAUUUGAGUGAUGAGCCAGUGGGCGACUGGAAUGAUAAUCAUGUUACCCCGUGCAGCCCGUCCAGUGAUACCGAAGAGCCUCCUGAUAACAGAGGCAUGAAUGGUAACAUUGGUGGCCCUCCUCCCAAACUCAUCCCAGUGUCAGGGAAGCUGGAAAAGAGUAUGGAGAAGACACUGAUCCGUCCCACUGCCUUUAAGCCGGUUGUGCCCAAGAAUCGCAACUCUGUGCAGUACCUGUCUCCACGGUCAGGGGGCAGUCUGACUGAAAGCCAGGGCAGCCUCAACCUCUUACUUCCUGGCACUGGAGCAUUGUUGGGUUGUCAGGAGAAGCGUAACUCUUACAGUGGGGGGCGCAACGCACGGAAUAGCCAAUCCUGCACUAUGUCGGACUCAGGCCGCAACUCACUCUCCAGUCUACCAACCUACAGCAGCACAGGGUACAGCCUGGCACAGAGCGAGGUUCCCACCGGGCACAUGGAAACCACACGCUCCAGUGGUGGCCACGGACACUCUAACUCUGACAGUGGUCGGUCAUCAUCCAGUAAGAGCACAGGGUCUUUAAGUGGCCGUGGGCAGCCCCUCUCAGACAGUGGAUCGUGUGGCCGCUCCCCGGCUCCAGGAGAAGGGUAUGAGGGCGUCAUUCGGGAACUUGAGGAGAAGCUGAGGGAAAGAGACCUCCAUCUGUCAGGUGACAAUCGCAGUUUUCUACCAGUUAUUAGUGCCAUUUGACAGGGAAUUGUUAGAUACGGUGGAUACAACGUAAGUAAAAUCAUAUGUCUUUUCCAUGCAGGUGUAUGAGGAGAAACAGAAGCGGUGUGAGCAAGAGUUGGAGGACCUUCGGCAGAGCUGUGCAUCGAAAAUGAAGCAGGUGCAGCUGAAGGCACAACGGGCACAACAGGUCCUGCAGUUGCAGGUGUUCCAGCUGCAGCAAGAGAAGAAGAAAUUGCAGGAGGACUUCUCCCAACUGCUGCAGGAACGGGAGGCAUUGGAGAAGAGAUGUGCCUCUUUUGAGAAGGAGCAGACUCAACUAGGUCCUCGUCUAGAAGAGACAAAGUGGGAGGUGAGAUCUUGUACCAAUUUAGAUCUAGCAAUGAGUAAUAAUUACAUUCAAUGAACUUGAAUGCUCCUGUGUUGCAGGUCUGUCAGAAGUCUGGUGAGAUCUCUCUGCUGAAGCAGCAGCUGAAGGAUGUACAGGCUGAUCUUGGUCAGAAGGCCAGCGAGAUUGUUGCUUUGAAGGCCCAGUUGAGAGAGGCUCGUUCCGAGCUUCAAGCUAGCCAGGCUCGCUCGCAGGAAGCCCACGCCACAGCCCGCACCCGUACACUCGAACUUGAGGUUUGCGAGAAUGAGCUGCAGCGUCGUAAAAGCGAAGCGGAGCUCCUGCGGGAGAAGGUGGGCCGUUUGGAAGAGUCCAUCCGUCUUAAAGAGACCCUGGCAGUGCCCCCGUUCCAAACUCUACCUUCUAAGGGCCAAUGCAUGAGCUUGCCCCUGCCCCAAAGCCGUGGGGGAAUCACUCACGGGAUCAGUCCUGCUUUCCGGGACAACAGCAGUGAAGAGCAGUUUCUAGCAUAUGAAAGCGAUGAAGCGAAGGUGCAGCGUCAGAGCGUGGAUGUGCUUCAUGGUCUCCGUCAGCAGGUGGACCGAAUGCGGGCUGAGCUGAUGUAUGAGAGGAGGCGGAGUGAGGACCAGCUGGAGGCCUUUGAGGAUGAACGCAGGGUAUGGCAGGAGGAGAAAGACAAGGUGAUUCGUUACCAGAAGCAGCUGCAGCAGAACUACAUCCAGAUGUACCGCAGAAACCGAGACCUAGAACGUGUGAUGAGAGAACUUAGUCUUGAGCUGGAGAACAGGGACAUGGAGGAGUUUGACAUGCGUAGCAAUGAGAUCCAUUUUGAGGAGAUCACUGCCACUGAAAUCUAAGCCACAUCUCACUCUGCCAUCCCAAAAUGAAUUUCCACUGAGGUUGUGUGAGGAGCACUGGCCUUCACUGCAGUAUUUUUGGCAUGCUUCUCCACACUAUUUCAGAAAGACUUAUGUUCAAGGCAAGUUAUUGUUGUGAUGUCCGCAGAGGCCAAUAAAAUAUGUAACAUUUGUAUUUAGACA
rnacentral:lncRNA from 1 species